UUAACUAUUAUAUAGUACUCAGACGACGCUGACAUUCAGAGUUUGCGGGGCUUCUGGCGGGCACGCGCCGGCCGGGGCCGGCGGCGGGCUGGGCCCGGCGGCCCGCCAAAGCAACACGGUAGCAAUUACAGUGGGUGGGAGAUCUACCCGCGAGGGCGAGAACUCUGUAAUGAUCCCUCCGCAGGUUCACCUACGGAGA
rnacentral:misc_RNA from 1 species